AAAAAAAAAUCUGACAUAAGAUUAAAAACUAUAUUGGUAUCUUUACUUGACUUAUUCUAUAAUUUGUAAAGUAUGUCUAAAGUCUAAGUAAUUUUGGAGCUUAUAUUAGAUUUGCAAAUCAGCUUUCAGAAUAAAUUUGAUCUUUCAUACUAAAUACUUUUUUGUUGUUGUUGUUUUGGUUUUUGAGACAGGGUCUUGUUCUUAGACCAGGCUAGACUUACUCUCACAAUCUUCCUAUCUCAGCCUCACAGUUCUGUGAUCACAGGCAUGCACUACUACCACACCUGGCCUAAAGGACCAGGCAUCACUAAUUAGUUUCCAGUAACCUGAUCAUUUUAACUUGGGUCCUUUGCACAGUGAAAAAUUCCAAGAAGCCUACAUAUGGUGCUCUUAGUUUACUUAUAUCCCUGGGUGUGAAUUUCAAUAAGAACUUUUUUUACAAGUAGAGAAAGGGAACUGGCUAAGAGUCCAAAGAACUCCUUUGCCUUAAUGAAACACAUGGGUAUACAUCAACUCUCAGUACUCACUACCUUACUUUUUCACUAUUUGUAUGUGUGAUGUGUUUGUGCUGGUACUGGGACUUGAACUGGGCACUGUCCUGUAGCUUUUUUGCUCAAGGAUAGCCCUCAACCUCUUGAGUCACAGCUCUACUUCCAGUUUCCUGCUGACUAACUAGAGAUAACAAUAUCAUAGACUUGCCCAACUGGACUAGCUUCAAACCUCAACCCUCAGAUCUCACCCACCUAAGUAGCUAGGAUUACAGGUAUAAGCCACAGGUGCCUGGUUACCCUGCUUUAUUCUAUUCCUUUUAUUCAAUUGUACUUAAUAUCUCCUAACAUUCUUUAUGAAUAACUUUUUAAUAUAAUUAUGUGGAUUAUAUUUUAUCUUUAAUGUUGCUGUUGACUGCUUACUGUAUUAAUAUACUCCCACCACACUGGAAAGCAAAGCUAUAUUAGAACAAGAAGUUUAUCUGUUUUACUUAUCGGUAUAUAUACACACACACACACACACACACACUCUCAUGUGUACA